UACGGAGGAUCCGAGCGUUAUCCGGAUUUAUUGGGUUUAAAGGGUGCGUAGGUGGUUUGAUAAGUCAGCGGUGAAAGUUUGCAGCUUAACUGUAAAAAUGCCGUUGAAACUGUCGGACUUGAGUGUAAAUGAGGUAGGCGGAAUGCGUGGUGUAGCGGUGAAAUGCAUAGAUAUCACGCAGAACUCCGAUUGCGAAGGCAGCUUACUAAGCUACAAUUGACACUGAAGCACGAAAGCGUGGGGAUCAAACAGG
rnacentral:rRNA from 1 species